rnacentral:rRNA from 1 species
UACGAAGGGGCGAGCGUUGUUCGGAAUUACUGGGCGUAAAGGGCGCGUAGGCGGCCCUUUUGUCGCGUGUGAAAGCCCCGGGCUCAACCUGGGAACGGCGCGCGAAACGGGGGGCUUGAGUUCGGGAGAGGAGAGUGGAAUUCCCGAGUGUAGAGGUGAAAUUCGGUAGAUAUUGGAAGAACACCGGUGGCGAAGGCGGCUCUCGUGGACCGAGACUGACGCUGAGGCGCGAAGCGUGGGAGCAAACAGG